GGGGAUGUUAAUCUUCUCUGUGCACAUCGGGACAUAGACGGAACAAAGGAAGAACUGGAAGAGAGGAACAGAAAUCACAACUCUCCCAAAGCCCCUUUCCUCAGAUAAUUCGGAGAUUGAUAUACCUCUCCAGCCAGAUGAGCAGAACAGACAAGAAGUUGCAAGGCAAAGUCACUGUCAGGAUCCGGUGACGAUGUGGACUGCAACCCACCUUACCCUAUGUGGACAUAUGCUCUUCCUCUAACUCCCUGGCAGGGUAGGUCCAGGUACUAAUUGUUAGAAAGCUGACAAAAUAAAACAAAUAGCCAUGUGAUGACAAGGAGGGGUGGUGUGGCCACGAAAGAAAACAGAUCAGCUUAGAUUGGCUUCAACUGUCAAGGAACCGCACCCUUAUUCUUUCCUACCAAGCUGAUCCUCACAGUAUUUUAGCACUGUACUGAGGUUUUGUUAUCAAUGGAACAAAUGCAGAAUUUUAUUUUUAUUAUUGCUGGAUCAAGCAUUUGAGUAUGUACUGAUCUUUCAUUCUUGAGCAGUAUAAUUUAUAUUUGGAGACUGACAAUUUCUCUAGUUCCCCAUAGACAUAUAGAUGAACAUAGAAAAUUGCGAGAGCUUAUGUGAAUUCUGUUUUUCUCAGGCAUUUUUAUUCCUCAGAGAGACUUCCAUGGGGCCAAAUUACCAUGAAAACUAGAUUACCAUGAUAUUUCAGUUCCUUACGGUAAAAGUUCAUGUCAUUCAUUACUGUUGACAGUAUACACGCAUCCUUGGGGAACUAUGAAAAAUAUAAAAAGAAAACUUCUAAAAAUGUGCAUAAAAAACAUAUGAAAAACACCAUUUAACUUGAAUAUUCCCCGGGCAAAACUAAAGCCAAUUCUUUUCCGAAUACAAAAAUUUCAGGCCACAGCUGGGCAUAGCGCUGCAUUGAAACGUAAGACUAUUACUCAGUAUAUGACAUAAGAUCACUCCAGAUAGAAGAAGAAAACAAUUGGAAAGAAGAUCAGCACACAAGCCCCUUUGCUCUGCCCACAAGGUGCAAAGCAGUGGGGAGUCAGGCUCCUGACGCAGACAAAGGGCACUGUGUCUUCUCUUCCAGUGCAGCCCGUGCCUGAGGCUGAGACCUAGACUGACCCCUCCUCAUUUUAAGCUUGCAGGAAAAGCUCUCAAGAGUGCACUUCACCACCAGAUCAAGACCACUGCAAUGGAGGACAACCAAUGAAAAGGCCAUUGAUGCUCUCCAUGCUGUCCCAAACCCUGCCUCUCCUUUCUAUGCAUUCUUAUCAAUGUCUACAAAUACCUUAAGGGCGAGUGGCAGGAGGAGGGGGCCAGGCUCUUUUCAGCGGUGCUCAGCGACAACAGGCACACUCUGAAACACAACAAGUUCCAUCUGAAUAUGAGGAAAAGCUUCUUUACCCUGAGGGUGGCGGAGCCCUGGCACAGGCUGCCCAGAGAGCCUGGGGAGUCUCCUGCUCCGGAGACAUUCAGAACCCACCUGAUGUGACUCUGCGCACCCUGCCCCAGGAGAACCUGCUUGAGCAGGGGGUGGGGCUAGGUGACCUCCAGACGUCCCUUCCAGCCCUGACCAUCCUGUGAUGUAGGAGUUGUGCAGCCAAGGGUGAGGUUUUUGGUAGGUUUUGCCAUUGCUACGUGAGUCUGCCAUUGAACACCACAUAGUCAAGGCAGACAGAGAAGCUACUCAAGAGUCCAGAUCAGACCUAAUGUGGCUGCACUGGAGAUGCUCCACUCUCCCUCAACUGUCAAAAGAGCUUAGGAUGUCUAUCUCAUUCUUUAGCUGCUCCAAGCAGUUGGGUAAAGUUAAGAGGAACUAACAUAAGAGGGUGGAAGUUAAGGACGAAUUUAUGCAGGAACCCUUGGGCAAAGUGUAUGACUGUGGAAUAAAUAUUCUUGAUUUCAGCCUGACUAGAGGAUCAUUUUAACACCUUUAUUGUAAGACUGGCAUAUGAAACUGUAACACCAUGCCACGCCAGCAUCUGAAUUAUGAAAGGAUGAACUGGGUCAGAAGUUCAUCUUACCAAUUUCAGUAAGAAAAAAGCCAGCAUUUCCAGAGAUCAUUUGUUACGUAGACACAUAGGAAAAGAGGAUUUUAAAUAGCCCUUCUAGAAAGUGGUACUGGUAAAAGAUGACUCUGGGGUUUAUUUUCUUCAGCUAAAACAAACUGAGAUGCUGGAUGUUAAAUGACAUUUAUUUUAAGAUAACGAGCUGCUGCUAAGCCGUACUGCAAACUUGUACAUCUCUUUUUUGGUGUCCUCAAUAAUUAUAGCUCCUCCACACAGUGGUAAAAGCUGUAUAGUCUUUCAACCUGGGCUAUUCAGUUAACUUAAAAUGUUGCUUCGUCACCUGAAAAUAUGCUUUGCUGCACUGCUUUUACAUAAAAUCUCCUUAAACAAAUGGAUGCAGUUCAGUGGGGGUGGGAGUGCUGGGAAGAGAUAUAACUUCUUGCGCACAUUGUGAUUUCCCAUGUCAAGUUUACUAAAGUUUCGGUAUGAGGGAACUUAUUUGAAAUACGUCAUUUGGGUUAAUGCUGCUUCGUGGCAUUGAGACAUAAAUUGCACAUCCAUGGACAUCAGGUCAUUAACCACCCUUAGCGCCUCAUUUUUGGGGCACCAUACUAUCCCCGCCAGGGCUGUGUAAGUUCCCUUCGGGCUUUUGACCAAAGAGAUCUGUGUAAAACAUUACCUUUACAUGUCUUCUCCAAAAGAAAAAAAAAAAAAAAGAAGCAAAAUUCUUUUAUUUUCUAUAAAUAGGAUGUAAAAGGAAGGUGCUUUCCUGGUGUGGGAGGGGAAUGUAAAAUGAUACCAUGUCUGAGCAGUUACCUCAUCUCCAUGCACAGGCAUACGCACAUGCAUACCGAGCUCCAGCCAAUGCAGUAAGUUUUCCGCUCUCCGUCUUCAAAAUCUUCCAAUGUUAAAAACCACCACCAAAACAUCAGGAGAAACCUUCUGAGAGUGACAUAUAUCAGCCUGCAAAAUGACCCCUCCCAGGGAGCGCUGAAAGCCCUGUCAUGUUAUAAACAACAGUAAUUCUUCAUGCAUGAGGUGCACAAAGCUGGACAAACAUUAAAUGGUCUGUGACACAUGCUGCUGAGAUGUUGCUGCUACGCAGAGGCAUGGAUGGGGAUUUGGGCUUAGGGCCCAAAGAUCACGCCUAUUCCUAAUAAAGAAUUUACACUCAAGUUCAUCUCUUCUAGCUGGGCACUCAGACACCAAGAUAACUCCACAACAUCUGCUUACAACUAGACAAAACACUGGAAGCUAUUCUCUGGAAGAUAAUAUCGCCGAGGCUAAAGAAAUAAGCUAUUACUUUAAGGCGGGGAUUUUUUGGGGAGCUGCAAAGUUAGGUGUCCAACCUAUACUGAAAUCCAAUGGGAUCUGAACGUCUAACUCCCACAGGGUUCUCUGAAAAUACUGACCUUGAGAUGCUACAUUUUUCUCUCAGCUGUGCCAGAGGUAGCAUGAGGGAAAUCUCUGCAGGAGAUGUCUGUAAAUGAGUUCAGAACUCACCCAUAAAAU